rnacentral:lncRNA from 1 species
AUGAACAAAUAGGUGAACAAAUACCAGUUGUAAAAUACAUGCCAAAAUAUAAGUGUAUUUAAUAUGGUGUGGUGGCAAUACUGGUGAUUAUGUAUUUUUAUGCAUUUUGUUUUAUUUUCAAUAUAUCACUUGUACAAUUUUAAAUUUGAAAGCGAGAUAUUCCUCCCUCCACACAUUUUUGUGUAUCAUAGGCAAUAACUAUCACUAAUAGCUAUUUAUUUAGUACCACAUAAUUUUGUGCCACAUAAUACAGUGAUUGAUACGACAUAAUAUUCAUGAUGGGUGGAUAUACGCAUUGAUAGAUGAACAGAUGGAGAGAUAGUAAUUACAGUUCAUAUUUCUCAACAUUCUCAUGAACUUGGUUCCUGUCACCAACAUACUUUUAGGGAAUAGCUAAUGGUAAGGAUGAAUCUGAUAUUCUUGAUCAUGAGAUAUCAAAUUCCCCUAGAAUUUGAUAUCGCAUCUGCUUCAAGCCAACACCCUUGCUGAAUAAUUUGUAUAGAAAAUACUUUUAUCAGAUAUAAUCUAAAUAUUUACAACCCAAGAUAAAUAUGAGGCAAAAUGCAGGUGAACAAGCAUAUCUGAAUAGCUAUCAUUUAAAAGGCAGUAAAACAAAAUGCUAUUCAUUAAUGGGAUAAUGACAGACAUAGAUACCUUACAAUUGUAAGGACUCUGAAUUCUAUAUCCUGAUAUUACCCUUCAUAUAUCCUAGGCACUAUCUCAGAUCUACCAACUCUAGUUGAUAUCUUCUAUCCUAAUGGAUUCACAAGAACCUCCAGAACUCAAGCAAUUAUAGCCUUUGAGAUAGUAUUCCAGUUGUCUAGGUAGCCUUGAUAUCAGUAUCAACACAGUACAUGGAAAUACAUAGCGCACAGUUUUCCAAACUUCCCCUACAGAAUGCAUGUGUAUAAAACACAAUUCUCUCCCCAAAUCAAAAAAUGCAUGGCAUAUUUUCAGACACUACAGUAACAUGUAGUACAUAUUUCAGUUGGUAGAUAAGAUUUAAUUUUUUCUACUUAAUAUGCACAAAAAUCUCACAUGGUAAAGAUUACUUUUUAUUUAUUUUUAUACAAGAGACAACAGUGGUGUCAAGAGGUUAAGUAAAUUCUUCAAAAUCAAAUUAUCCAAACACUAGAGCCAAGAUCUGAAGUAUAUAGUAGGAUUCUAGAACCUGGGCUCUUAACACUAUACCCUAUAUCUCCUUACAUGAUAUCACAGGGUGCACUUCUGAGACAGAGAAAGAAAAGAACUAUUUUCACUGACCUAAUGAAAAAUGGCUAGGCUCUGAUAUCCUAAAAAUAUACUCAUUUAAAAUUUUUCUGGGCUCAAACUCAAGUGUACUACUUUGAUAAGAUCUGGCCUCAAUGGGGUCAACUGUUUUUACUAUAUGUAUUAGAGAAUACUAAUUUAACAUUUUCAGCAUAGGACAUUGAUGUUUAGGUCAGGCUCUUUUAAACAGUGAAUUAAAUACAAAUCGGUCUCAGCUUAUGAAGUCAAAUAUCACUACCAGCCAUUGGGGAAGUACAAUAGUGAUUUCAGCUCUAUGAAUCAGAGUUACCCUAAAAAUAGUAGGAUUAGGCUUAAAAGCAGGCAGAAAGGAAUGCAAUGGAGUAAACUUUCCAACCAAUUGAACUUUGAAGAUUUGAAAUUUACCCAUAGAUCUAGAUGUUUUUUUAAAGGAUUUCCUGAUAUAUAAAUGUGGCCUUUGAGUUACAUGGUGGUAGAUGGAGGUCUGAACUGCUUCACCCUUACAUCCCUAACUUUGUGAAAUUCUCUAAAGGAAAUGAAGUUUCAUGCAUCAGCUGCUAGCACUGAGAUCUUUUGUCCAAAGCUUUUCCUUGUGACACAACAAACUAUCCAGUGUGUCUGUUUGCCACUAAUAGCAGCUCUCUGAAGAAGAGUCAUCAAAAACACAAGUGGAAGAUUUUUUAUCUCCCUCCAGGCUGUCCAGUAAUGCUAGAUCAGAUUUUUUCUUAGAUCAGAAUCAUAAAUGCUAAAUGCACGUUAAUAAGUGACAUAUUUUUAAUUUGACCUGUUUGGGAAGAGUCUCUUAACCCAAGAUGGACAUACGAAGGUUUGUGCUUCUCAUUCAAAUGUUCAAAAACUUAGAAGAAAUGACGUUAAAAUGUAAAAUAAUGAAGACUUGAAGGCUUCUUUCUGAAUUCUAAAAUAGAGAAGGAGGGGAGUUAUCUGGUGGUUCAGAGGGUUAAGGACCUAUCAUUGUACCUGCUGUGGCUCGGGUCACUGCCGUGGUGUGGUUUUGAGCCUUUGCCCCAGAACUUCUGCAUGCUAUGUGUGUGGCUAAAAAUAAAACAGAGGAGGAUUCCCCUUAAUGAUAACACUGUACAGCAGAAUAGAACACAGGCAUCCCUUUAGUGAAAGGAGGUAGUCCAAUUAACAUAGGAAGUGAAACGUGAUUAACUGCCAAGUACUGAACACAUAGCAAGCAACUAUCUGGAGAGACAACGGGGCAGAUGUCUCUGGCUUCACAUAAAAGUCUGAAUAGAUUCUUAGCAGUGGGUGAGAAAGAAGAAUGAAAACUUGAAAUAUACUGAUCAUUUUAGAAAAAGCAGAGAAAAAGCCUAGAAUCAUAUUCACGAUUAUUCAAACCUGAAACCUAGAAGUAAGAGGAGAUAAGAAGAAAGACCGAUAUUUGGAGAGAGGGGAAAAAAAAAAAAGCAGGAAUUCUUAUAUGAGAAAGAGAAAGCUUCAGAAAGAACUGGGGACAGAUUCAAAAGGAGAAGACAAAGUAUUCAAUUCUAAAGCAAGAUAUACCAUCAGGAAUACCAAUAAAGUUGCUCUUUUUUGUUGAAGUUCCAAUGAAAAGGCAUCAGCCAGCUCUUAGAAAGACACACUGACAAAAUGAUCUUUAAAAACCCAGGCAAGUAUUUUUAUUUAAAACAAAUCUCAAGAAGAAGGUGGGAAAGGGUAUAAGAAAUACCCAGAUCCAAUUCUUCUUAUUAUACAGAUAAGGCAUUUUACAGAUGAGGUAAGGCUGGAAAGUCUGCAUCACUUGCAAAGACACAAUAGGUUCAAGCAUGAAUGCCCAAGACCCUAACACUGAUUGUCAUUUCAGAUACCUAAAUCCUUAUUUGUACACACCUCUAUACAACAAAACAAUCCUACCGCCAAUAAUUCUAAAUAUGUUUCUAAAAGGAGACAACAACAACAAAUGUAAACAGAAAAGAAAGUUUUUCUUCUUUGACUACCAUUCCCAGACAGUAAAAUGGCAGCUAUGAACAAACAGUUCUAAGGUAAUAGGACAGGGAGUGAAAAGAGGUCAAUGUAACCAAUUACAACUUCAGAGGACAUGGAGAUAAAAACUUGAAAUGAGGCCAAGGCUCUUAGGUCAUGGCCCUCAGCUGAAGAGCAGUGCCAAGGGACUUGUAAUGACCACAAGAAACCAAGAGUUCACAUCAACAGUGCACAGCUAUGAUCUCUGUUCAAGGCUUCUUAGAAAAAUGGCCAAUCCCUAGCACACCCACCCUCUAGCCAAAAGCAGUCUCAUUCUAAAGGAAUGCCAGAAUUCAAGCAAUCUUAAGAUUAAGUCAUCCUAAAUUCUCUAGUUUCUGAGAAAGAAACCCAAGUCCAGAACAGUCAAUGUCCCACGGCUCAGGUCACAAACGAAGUCGAUCUUGGAAACAAGUCUCAAAACCUAGAAGUCUGUUACAGUGAUUAUGCAAACUAAUUGAUCACUGGUAUAAUCAGAGCACUGAUUUCACAAAUUCUGCCCAGGCUACUAGUACCCUCAUGACACAUGAAUUCCACCUUUUUUUUCUUUUAGAACAAUAUGCUCACUUUUCCCAUAGUCCCUCCUCUCCAUGAUGGGUAUAUGUAUAUUUAUGCAAAUAUUAAAGAAAACAAACUUCAGGUGGAUAUGAAUUUUCUCUAUCAACACAGUAGGGAGUGGUUUAUGAAUGUAAAAGAGUAUGAAGACUGCCAUAGUUACUCUUCUAAGGAAGUAAACAACUAUUUUAUAAUGAAUAAUUGCUCUGA